GAACGCAUAUUGCGCUCUUUGGUAUUCCGAAGAGCAUGCUUGUUUGAGUAUCAGUAAACACCUCAACCUCCUCUUGAUUUUUCAAAAGGAGGGUGGACUUGAGCUAUCCCAACAACCUUUAUCGGUCGGCGGGCGGCUUGAAAUGCAGGUGCAGCUGGACUUUUAUCUGAGCUAAAAGCAUAUCUAUUUAGUCCUCGUCAAACAGGAUUAUUACUUUUGCUGCAGCUAACAUAAAGGAUAAUUGUCCUCCUUGCUGACUGAUGCAGGAUUUUACGACACUUUAUGUGUUGUUCAACUCGAUCUCAAAUCAAGUAAGACUACCCGCUGAACUUA
rnacentral:misc_RNA from 1 species